CGGAAGUUUUCAGAGAUGAGAAUGUGCCUUCGGGAACCGUGAGACAGGUGCUGCAUGGCUGUCGUCAGCUCGUGUUGUGAAAUGUUGGGUUAAGUCCCGCAACGAGCGCAACCCUUAUCCUUUGUUGCCAGCGGUCCGGCCGGGAACUCAAAGGAGACUGCCAGUGAUAAACUGGAGGAAGGUGGGGAUGACGUCAAGUCAUCAUGGCCCUUACGACCAGGGCUACACACGUGCUACAAUGGCGCAUACAAAGAGAAGCGACCUCGCGAGAGCAAGCGGACCUCAUAAAGUGCGUCGUAGUCCGGAUUGGAGUCUGCAACUCGACUCCAUGAAGUCGGAAUCGCUAGUAAUCGUGGAUCAGAAUGCCACGGUGAAUACGUUCCCGGGCCUUGUACACACCGCCCGUCACACCAUGGGAGUGGGUUGCAAAAGAAGUAGGUAGCUUAACCUUCGGGAGGGCGCUUACCACUUUGUGAUUCAUGACUGGGGUGAAGUCGUAACAAGGUAACCGUAGGGGAACCUGCGGUUGGAUCAC
rnacentral:rRNA from 2 species